ncrna:unclassified sequences ssnA RNA
AUAUCGAAAGCUGUAAGGAAGUGCUUCGCGCGCGGGCUGAAAACAAAU